AUUCCACUUCUUAAUUUUUGUUUGCUUUUUUUCAUUUGUCAUUAUUUUAUUAUUCGUGUUUGGGUUAUUUUUUUGGCAGGAAAUCGUAUUAUUGGUAUGGUGGGUUCUUAAUUUGCAGUUGAUGAGGACUUUGACUUGGAAUGGUUAUGAACUAUGAUGUUCAAUUCAUUCUUGUGUUCUAUAAUUUAUUAUUAGUAUUUGAUUGAUUAUGAAUGAAUGCAGUGAUCAUUUUCUUUCUUUCUUUUCUCAAUUUUUUUGUGCAUGUGACAUCUUUUCUGGAAAACUGUGUUGGCGGUUAAUUCCAAGUUGUGGGAUGAUUUUGGUAGAGAAAUGGAGUAGUUGUAUUAAGUGAUGGCCUAAUUGGGUAUCCAGAUGAUACUAAACAUGUAAUCUUGCAAUAUAUUUUGUUUCGUAUCAAACUAAGAUAUAGUGUUUUGGGUGAUAAUUAUACUUUGUUGGUAGUUUUAAUUUUAAUUUUUUUUUUUUUUUGGUUUUUUGUUUCUAGUGUUGUUGAGAUUGAUAAAUGAUGUGAGAAGAUCAAUUGGUUAGGUUUUUUUUGGUUUGUUUAAAUCAUCAUAUUCACUUGAACUUCUUCAGACGUUUAGUUGGAUUCGGCAUUGUGUUGUAUUUGAGCUAGAUUUCUGACCUUGGUUAUUCAUGUGUUUAAUUUUGCUUGAAUUGUGGUGAUGGAUAAAUAUGGUCUUUGAUGACAAUUGUAAUGUGAUUGCGUGUGUUAAACCUGAACAUUAUUGGGAUUUUGAUGAAGGAAGAAAUUAAACAAGAGCACAAGUUAAUUGGAAAUAAAUUGUGAUGUUUAUAUGAGGAUAGGAUAUAGUUUGUAAUUGUGAAGCAAAACAAUGCAGUUUAUAUGAAGCAAAACGAUGUAUUUCGAUUGUAAUAGCCUGCGUUGAUCAAUAACAUGGUUAAAAAUCUCGAAGCUGUACCUCAGCUCUAAUUGAAGAUGUUUCUGUGUGCACAGGCUCAAGCUAACAUGCAUAUGCAAGGUGGCUUACAAUCUUCGUCAGCAUUAAGUCCUUCAGGGUUAGAACCAUCUCCGUCUGAGGUAUUGAUGCAACAGCAUAUAUCGACUUCUACAUCUUCUGAUUCUAAAAAAGUUAAUCAGCCAUCCCCUUUUCCUGGUUCUAAUAAAAGAUCAAAAAUCGCUUUCUACAAGCCCUGUGAAAAUAUUACCAUUGCGGAAACCAUUAUUGCCAUUGCGGAAACUAUAGGACAAUAGAUGAUAAGCUGCGAAAAUAUUCAUAAAUGGACAUUUUCUAGAAACUAUAGGACAAUAGAUGAUAAGCUGCGAAAAUAUUACCAUUGCGGAAACCAUUAUUGCCGUGCCACAACAUAUGUGGACUGUGAGAAGCCACAAAAUCAGUCAAAAGACAGUGGAAAUGUUAAUGAAAACUUAAGAACUCAAGCAAACCCUGAAUCUCGCAUGCAACCACAAGCUAGUAAGGAGAAUAACUUGAGUGAAGGCAUGGCUCACAUGAUGGCAGGUGGUAAGGAAGCUGGCCAAGCUACAACGGAGCAUUUUCGAGUGAUGAGAAGGAAGUGGGUGAUGUUAGAAUUAGGGAACCUAGAGGGAAUGUGUACGGACCUGAUGCCAAGAGAAGGUCAAUAAAAAAACCCAAGAUUAUUAUUCCAGAAACAAGUGAAGUUGGUGUUCCACCUGAUGGUUAUAAGUGGUACUAUAGUGGACAGAGAUCUACAAAAGAUAAUCCAAGGCAAGUGAAUAACUUUCGCUUAUUUCAUGUAAGACUUCCCACUGUUUGAAAUCAGUUAUACCAUAUCAGCUUCGAGCUCUUGUCUUGGCUGUUCAAAGCUCUUUUAUUGCAUUGAAGUAUCGAACUUGUUUACCCAACUUAAAACAUAAUGCUUUAAAGAUAGUUACUCCGUAUUUAGGUUGGUCUCUAGUAGAAAAUCAGGGUGUUUAAACUGUAAAAUAUGGUGCUUACCAUGGAGUAGUCUUGAUGUAAUGAACUGGCCUAAAAAGAUGGGAACUGCAGUUAGUUUAUUAGACCUUAGGUUGCAGAAGAAGCAAGCAAGGGAAUUAGCAAUGAGAGGGAAAUAUCAAGUAUUAUCGACGAACAAACAAUAUGAAGGAUAGUAGAGAACAAAUAAAAACGAUUAUUAGUAAAA